rnacentral:rRNA from 1 species
UACGGAAGGCAGCAGUGGAGAAUAUUGCACAAUGGGCGAAAGCCUGAUGCAGCUAUGCCGCGUGUAUGAAGAAGGCCUUAGGGUUGUAAAGUACUUUCAUCGGGGAGGAAAAAACAAAACUAAUAAUUUUAUUUCUUGACGUUACCCGAAAAAGAAGCACCGGCUAACUCCGUGCCAGCAGCCGCGGUAAUACGGAGGGUGCUAGCGUUAAUCAGAAUUACUGGGCGUAAAGAGCACGUAGGUGGUUUUUUUAAAGUCAGAUGUGAAAUCCCUGGGCUUAACCUAGGAACUGCAUUUUGAAACUGAAAUACUAGAGUAUCGUAGAGGGAGGUAGGAUUCUAGGUGUAGCGGUGAAAUGCGUAGAUAUCUGGAGGAAUACCUGUGGCGAAAGCGGCCUCCUAAACGAAUACUGACACUGAGGUGCGAAAGCGUGGGGAGCAAACAGGGAUUAGAUACC